rnacentral:rRNA from 1 species
AGUGAACGCUGGCGGUAGGCCUAACACAUGCAAGUCGAACGGCAGCACAGAGGAGCUUGCUCCUUGGGUGGCGAGUGGCGGACGGGUGAGGAAUACAUCGGAAUCUACUCUGUCGUGGGGGAUAACGUAGGGAAACUUACGCUAAUACCGCAUACGACCUACGGGUGAAAGCAGGGGAUCUUCGGACCUUGCGCGAUUGAAUGAGCCGAUGUCGGAUUAGCUAGUUGGCGGGGUAAAGGCCCACCAAGUCGACGAUCCGGAGCUGGUCUGAGAGGAUGAUCAGCCACACUGGAACUGAGACACGGUCCAGACCCCUACGGGAGGCAGCAGUGGGGAAUAUUGGACAAUGGGCGCAAGCCUGAUCCAGCCAUACCGCGUGGGUGAAGAAGGCCUUCGGGUUGUAAAGCCCUUUUGUUGGGAAAGAAAUCCAUCUGGUUAAUACCCGGGUGGGAUGACGGUACCCAAAGAAUAAGCACCGGCUAACUUCGUGCCAGCAGCCGCCGUAA